GGAUUUUACCAGGAUGAAAACUUAAUUUUUUGACCAGCUACAGGUGGAAAUACACAUCUUAUUUCUCCUUGCCACUGUUUUAAUUUCUGAGUCAGAGUCACGUUGGUGAUGAUCCUGGUAUUUCAGUAGCUUUUACUUAUCUGUCCUCUGUCAGCAGUGAAAGCUGCCCUUUUGGUCUGGAGAGUUGACAUGAUGUCCCCCUACUGGGCCACAUCCUCUGAAAUGGUUUCAACAGAAAGAUGUCAGUUUUGAAAAGUAAAGCAAAAUGUUAUUAAGGAUAAAAUUUUCAACCAUCUUGUUUUCUGUACCAAAUUUUCCAAAUAUAAUGACAAAACCAAGGAACAGCUUAACAUUUUUAUCAUGUAUCUUAAAAUUAUAUACUUCUUUUAUUAUAGAUGUAUAAUGCCUGUGGACUUCACAAAAGUCAAGAAUGGAAUCAGUAGUUACAAUGAUGAAAAAAAAAGGAAUACAUUGUACAUCUGGAAAAGGGGUAAAGCUUAAAAUACUUAUUUCAAGCUGGACAUGCAGCAGUGGUGGUCUCAAAGGAGGAGUUUUGCUGCUUUCUUGUUCCCUGAAAUGGAGCUUUUAGAAAGAAAAGAAGAAAAAAAAAAGCAAUAAAAAAAAAUAGAAAUUUGACUAAAAGACUUGAUAUUUGAUCUAAAAAUGUUUAACUCUUCUGACACGGUCUUUUCAUUGGAUAAUUUAUUUUAUGAAAAACCAGAUGCAAAAAAAAGAGAGAGAGAUCUAGAAAAAGAAGAGUCAAACCUUUGGUAUAUUGCACCUGCUCCAGUUAUUGGUGAAAUUCCAGCAGCAGAAGAGUUACAGAGGGAACUGAAAAAAAAUGAGUUGCAGAGGAAGCUGGAAAAAAACACAGCCAGCAAUCAUAUGGGAGGGAUAAAGCACCAGAAGUUUAUACAACAAUGCAAGAGUAACACUGAGGAUGUAAAUGAUAAAUCUCCAGCAUCUGUUCAUUUUGGCAUAGUCUCUGAAAAAGAAAUGCUCCAACUAAGUGUAGGAGAAAGAGAGAAAAUAAAUUUUCAGCAUGAAAGUCUAGAAAUGGUUUCAUUGUUUCUCUCUCCUGACCAAGAUAAGUAUAAAAGAGGAACGGGGAUUUGUCAGCAACCUGAUGCAAAUUUUUCACAGAGUAAAAUCUUAAUUAAUAUUCCAGAAAAUGGUGAUGAUGAGAGUGCCCAUUCCACAUUAAGAAAAAGGUAUGCAUCUAGUCAAUUCUGA
rnacentral:lncRNA from 1 species